ACAUGCUUACAACAUAGCAUUAAUGCACCAGAUCCCAUUAGUCCUCUGCAAUUAAGCAUGCUCAGGCUAUAGUAUUGGGAUAGGUGACCUCCUCAGAAGUGCUAGUGUCUUACAUGCC
rnacentral:rRNA from 1 species